GACGAACGCUGGCGGCGUGCUUAACACAUGCAAGUCGAACGGAAAGGCCCUGCUUUUGUGGGGUGCUCGAGUGGCGAACGGGUGAGUAACACGUGAGUAACCUGCCCUUGACUUUGGGAUAACUUCAGGAAACUGGGGCUAAUACCGGCUAGGAGCUCCUGCUGCAUGGUGGGGGUUGGAAAGUUUCGGCGGUUGGGGAUGGACUCGCGGCUUAUCAGCUUGUUGGUUGGGUAGUGGCUUACCAAGGCUUUGACGGGUAGCCGGCCUGAGAGGGUGACAGGCCACAUUGGGACUGAGAUACGGCCCAGACUCCUACGGGAGGCAGCAGUGGGGAAUAGUGCACAAUGGGCGGAAGCCUGAUGCAGCAACGCCGCGUGGGGGAUGACGGCCUUCGGGUUGUAAACCGCUUUCGCCUGUGACGAAGCGUGAGUGACGGUAAUGGGUAAAGAAGCACCGGCUAACUACGUG
rnacentral:rRNA from 1 species